rnacentral:lncRNA from 1 species
UCGGCUGCCAGAUAGGGAGCUGAGACUCCAAGAAGCUAAAUAAGGUGUCCAACACCACAGAGCAUGGAGCAAAGGACACGGGACUGCAAAUCUUCCUAACUCGUGUGCUCAUCUGGCUAUCUCACCAGGGCCUUAAAUUUAAUAUAUCCCAAACUGAACUCAUCUUUAUCCCUUCCCACUUUGCACUCCUCAAAUGUCCUUGUUUAAAAUAGUUACCUUUAUCUUUCCUAACCCAGAAACUCAAAACCUGGCAUCAUCUUUGACUUCUCUCUUUACCUUCACAUUCAACAGUUUCCAAGACUUAAAGGCUUUAUUUGUAGGAUCUCUACCACUGAUCCUCUACAGUUUCACACCUACAUCCCAUUCUCGUUCCCAAAUCCCCAUAACUCCUCUCCUGGCCCAUCCCUUAACACUGAAAUCCUGGCUUGGAAAAUAUGGUCACAUUCACAGCAGCUGUCCCCAAGAAGGAAGCCAAGGCAACAGUAUGCACAAUGAAAUCACUCUGGGAGAAACUCACUGCCAUGUUGUGACAACACUAUGGAGACGCCCAGGUGAGGGACUGAGGCUUCCUGCCAACAGCCACAUGAAUAAGAUUGGGAACAGAUCCUCCAGCCCCAGUCAAGCCUUCAGAUGACUGCAGUCUCAUGAAAGACCCUGCGCCAAAACCACCCAGCUUGAUGAAAUAAUCUGUACAACAAACCCCCAUGACACAAGUUUACUACAACAAACCUGCACAUGUACCCCUGAACUUAAAAGUUAAAACAAAACCACCACCA